CUGUCGUUAUAAAGCGGCAGAUAAUGUGAAGCGGUGGCUAACUUCACUGUCGUUAUAAAGCGGCAGAUACUGUUGAGUCAUUGGCUCUUCAGGACUCCACCCACACCAAGGGGUCAAGGGUCAAUGAAUGACUUUAUCUUCUUCCACUUCCUGAAACCCUCAUUGACUCAUCUCAGUCCUUUGUCUGGCCUCUGAUUGAAGUCCAAUGUCUAAUUUGCACUUUUUGAGUUUUGACAAGGCCAUGUCGGACAUGCUUCUGAAUUAGCUGCUGUCUACCAAGCGAGUUUUAUGUUUUUAUGUUUAUGGCCUUUUGCGAGUUUUUAUUCCCUGUUAACUGUCACAAUGGUUGGUUUCUCCGUGAGCUUAAGGCACGGGAUUGAUGGAGAGAGAGAGAGAGCGUCAGGGAGAAGACUGGUGCCACAGGGGUUGCCUCGCGAGGUUAAUGAACAUUUUAAUAUCAAAGAUACGAGAUGAUCCACACGCUAACCCCGCCCGCUGCUCCAGACGGGCGGAAUGGGAAAUGGCGUUUUCCGUUUAUUGCUUUUUGCCGCCCCCGCUUAGAAGGGUCUGUAAAAUGUCACCUCCCUCCCUUGUCUCUCUGCGGGGUGUGUGUGAGAGUGAAAUGAGGAAUAACUGUAGCGAGCGUUUGGGGUUUGUUAUGUAGCUAUACUCUCUAAGUCAUCUGCAGCUGCUGGCCUGGCCAUUGGGACCCAAGGGGAACCAAUCUUUUAUUUAAUUCAUUGUUUUAUUUUAUUGAGCAACUGAGUAAUGGAAACAAUUUCAUUACUACGGAGAAGCACCUCAUUCACUCUUUAUUGUGUGUGUGUGUGCGUGUGUGUGUGCGUGUGUGUGUGUGUGUGUGUGUGUGUGUGUGUGUGUGUGUGUUUCACAUUCUGGCCUUUAUUGUAUUUGGAACUCCAAUGUGAAUGACAAUUAAAUGUGAAAUAUCUAAUCUCACGCACUUAGUGUGGGGAGAAAGGACUGAGUCAGGAGAAAAUAAACGGUAUUAAAAACAAAACAACAAAAAAAAACACAAAAGCACUUUCUGAACGACCUUGAUGGUGCGUUUCCUGUUUUCUGGUGCUUGCACUUCUGCCAAGGAGAGAGGGAGAGAGGGAGAGAGAGCUUAGUGGUGAAUGAUGGGUUUUUUGAAAAGGCACAAAAUAUAUUUCUAGAUGAAUCUACAAUGGCCUGGGUUCUGCACAGCAGAUGUGGUGUUCCCUCCCUUCAAAAUGAGCUUUUUAACACACGGAGUGUGUGUGUGUGUGUGUGUGUGUGUGUGUGAAAGCCCUACCUUCAUUUGCAAAGGCAAAGUCUCGCUUAAUGUCAGUUUCUCAUUUGUGCAAGGCAACAUCGUGCCAGUUUAUGUGUUUGUGCUGGUUUGGCUGAAGAUGGGGGCAGCUGCUAGUGGAGGCUGGUGCUGAUCGUUGCUGUAGCCGUGCGGCCUUAGCGUUAAGCUACAUGAGGUUUGCAGUAAAUAUCAGCUCUUUUGUUUGUGUGUGUGUGUGUGUGUGUGUGUGUGUGUGUAUGUGUGUGUAUGUGUGUGUAUGUGUGUGUGUGUGUGUGUGUGUGUGUGUAUAUGUGUGUGUGUGUGUGUGUGUGUGUGUGUAUAUGUGUGUGUGUGUGUGUGUGUGUGUGUGUGGUAAUAGGCCACAGCAGCGGGACUCUAGUCAUAUGAGCUUGUUAAUGUUUUUUUUCUGUCUUUUGUUCACUUCAUUAGGGCUCAUUUUGAAAGCAGCGUUGCGUCGGCGAGGUGUUGUGAUAAUUGUAACGUGGUGUUUUACAAGACGGUGCACAUUAAGAUCACGCCGAGAUUAACAGGUGCGUAAUGCUACAACUCUGUAAAAAGAUGACGUGAGAUUAACAGGUGCGUAAUGCUACAACUCUGUAAAAAGAUGACGUGAGAUUAACAGGUGCGUAAUGCUACAACUCUGUAAAAAGAUGACGUGAGAUUAACAGGUGCGUAAUGCUACAACUCUGUAAAAAGAUGACGGUGAGAUUAACAGUGCGCAAUUACCAAAUAUGGUAAUUUACCGAAACACGGUCUGUCUGGGCAAUUUAACAAAUAAUUACUAUGGCCUUUUUAGGUACUGAGCAACGACAUGGUACAAGCAUUCGAUUUAGACAGCGUCUUUCCUCAGUAGAAGGAAAACAUUCCGUAAUGUUUUAGCUAGACCUCAGUGGCGCUGGACCUCAGAUAAUAUGAACGUGUUCACCGUUCAAAUUCAUUAUUUGUCAUGAAGUUGCGUUCAGUUCAUCGUUCUCAUAAAAAUGAACGUGUUCUUUUGAACGCGUUCAUGCACAACACUGAAUGCUACACCUCUGUAAAAAGAUGACGGUGAGAUUAACAGGUCUCUCUCUACACCUCUGUAAAAAGAUGACGGUGAGAUUAACAGGUGCAUUAUGCUACAGCUCUGUAAAAAGAUGACGGUGAGAUUAACAGGUCUCUCUCUACACCUCUGUAAAAAGAUGACGGUGAGAUUAACAGGUGCAUUAUGCUACAGCUCUGUAAAAAGAUGACGGUGAGAUUAACAGGUCUCUCUCUACACCUCUGUAAAAAGAUGACGGUGAGAUUAACAGGAGCGUAAUGCUACAUCUCUGUAAAAAGAUGACGGUGAGAUUAACAGGUCUCUCUCUACACCUCUGUAAAAAGAUGACGGUGAGAUUAACAGGUGAGAUUAACAGGGGCGUAAUGCUACACCUCUGUAAAAAGACGCCUGGUACAAACAAAGUCGGGAUAGCUGUGGAGUACAAACAGACUAAACACUAAACUACUGAUAGCUGUUGAGUACAAACAGACUAAACACUAAACUGCUGAUAGCUGUUGAGUAUAAACAGAUUAAACACUAAACACAUAAACUACUGAUAGCUGUUGAGUAUAAACAGAUUAAACUACUGAUAGCUGUGGAGAAUAAACAGAUUAAACAGAUUAAACACCUAAACUACUGAUAGCUGUUGAGUAUAAACAGAUUAAACUACUGAUAGCUGUUGAGUAUAAACAGAUUAAACACUAAACAUCUAAACUACUGAUAGCUGUUGAGUAUAAACAGAUUAAACUACUGAUAGCUGUUGAGUAUAAACAGAUUAAACUACUGAUAGCUGUGGAGUAUGAACAGAUUAAACAGAUUAAACACUAAACACAUAAACUACUGAUAGUGGUGGAGGAGGAGUAUAAACAGAUUAAACAUCUAAACUACUGAUAGCUGUUGAGUAUAAACAGAUUAAACUACUGAUAGCUGUGGAGUAUAAACAGAUUAAACUACUGAUAGCUGUGGAGUAUGAACAGAUUAAACAGAUUAAACACUAAACACAUAAACUACUGAUAGUGGUGGAGGAGGAGUAUAAACAGAUUAAACAUCUAAACUACUGAUAGCUGUGGAGAAUAAACAGAUUAAACACAUAAACUACUGAUAGCUGUGGAGUACACUGUGCUGACAAACUUUGAAAACAAAAAACGUCGAAAGUAAAAGUUGGAAGCUCUGACAGGCUUCAAGCUCAGCAGGUUUUCUUUUGCUGUCAUACACACUGUCACACACUUCCGUCUCUGUCAUACACACUGUCACACACUUCCUUCACUGUCAUACACAGUCACACACUUUUUUCUCUGUCAUACACACUGUUACACACACUUUUUUUCUCUCUCCCCUGCCACUUAUGAAAGGGAGGAUAGGGUAGAGUCGACUCACUGCUGUGGUUGGCCAGAGAAUAAAGUCUUUUUUAUUGAAGUGGUUCUUAAUGUAUUUUGAAUAACACUAUAGAGAUGAGUUUAUCACAUGCUCUCUCACAUGUCCAGGCCAGAACUCUCCUCACAGUUAAAAAGUGUCUUUGAAAGCGAGACGCCAAUGUCUCCAACUUGAAAAGGGCACCUGGGAAGGGAAGGGCCUUUGAUGAUAAUGACAGGCACGUUUCAGCGCCUCCCAAAUACCCACACUCCGCUGCUUCCUGCGCCAGCCUCAUUUUACAGGAGAAGUGAAAGAGGAGGAGGGGAAAAAACAAAAGAAGAAAAGAGUGGAGGAGAGAAAAAGUGGCGGAGGGAGGGAGUGAUGGAGU
ensembl:lncRNA